rnacentral:lncRNA from 1 species
CAUCGCAGAGCUUCGGACAAACAAGACUUUCUUCUUCAAAAUAAGCCCAUGGUCAGGCGACAUUACACAGGCAGAGAGGAAGGGACUUGGCACCAUUUUCACAGUGUUUCCCCUGUUCUGGGGAGUGAGUAGUGUUUGUGUCCAAAUAUCUCUCCGAUGCUAAGUAAUCUCUCAGACUCGGGGGGCACCCUGUGGCGGACAUAGUGAGCAUUCUUGGCCUUUUCGAACAGCUCUAGGAAGGAUGGCUUUGUGCGUUCAUCUUUGAAGCUUCCUGCAUAGUCCACGGAGCUGGGGGAAUUUUGUACAUCAGCAUCUCCACGUGGCUUUUGACUGGCAUUUUCAGAUCUGGUCUCAUUAGCAGGUGCUGACCCUCUCUCACCAUCUUGGCUGGACACGCCACUGUCUUCUGUCUUGUUGGUGGACAGCUCUUGGUCAUGACAUGGGACAGAGACAUCCUUGCUGGGGUCCACGCCCUUCAGUGGAUUCGUGGGCUCUCCCUCCUGGCCUUGUGGGCUUCCUUCUUUGAAGCAGCUGGUUCUCUCACCGUGAGAUAGAAGGCUCCGGGACUGCGUGCCUCUGUCCUGUUGGUGGCAAGAAUGUGACAACAUCUUUCGAUCUCUUUUGAAUUUCAUGCCCCACAUAAGAAGAGAACCUUUUCUUGAUGAUAUCUGCUAAGAAAUAAUUAUCAAACAAUAGGCUGGAAGGAUGGCUCAUCUGAUAAGAGCGCUCCGAUGCUCAAUCAUGAGGACCAAGAGUCUGGAUCCACAUCCAGGGCUCACAAACAUCUUUAACUCCAGCUCCAAAGGACCUGACACCCUCUUUUGGUCUCUGUCCAUAUUUGCACACACAUGUGCUCAUACACUCACUCAGAUAUCCACACAAACAUAUGUGCACAUAAAUAAAAUACAGUUUAAAGUAAGUUAAUGUGUUAAAAAUAAAAUAAAAUAAUGUGGACUGAAUUAUG